UACAGGGGGUGCAAACGUUACUCGGAAUCAUUGGGCGUAAAGCGCACGUAGGCGGUUUGUUAUGUCGGAUGUGAAAGCCCUUGGCUCAACUGAGGAAGUGCAUCCGAAACUGGCAAGCUAGAGUACUAAAGAGGGUCGCGGAAUUCCCGGUGUAGAGGUGAAAUUCGUAGAUAUCGUGAGGAACACCAGAGGCGAAGGCGGCUUCCUGGACAAUUGCUGACGCUCAGGCACGAAAGCGUGGGGAGCAAAAGGG
rnacentral:rRNA from 1 species